AUUGAACGCUGGCGGCAGGCCUAACACAUGCAAGUCGAGCGGAUGAAGGGAGCUUGCUCCUGGAUUCAGCGGCGGACGGGUGAGUAAUGCCUAGGAAUCUGCCUGGUAGUGGGGGAUAACGUCCGGAAACGGGCGCUAAUACCGCAUACGUCCUGAGGGAGAAAGUGGGGGAUCUUCGGACCUCACGCUAUCAGAUGAGCCUAGGUCGGAUUAGCUAGUUGGUGGGGUAAAGGCCUACCAAGGCGACGAUCCGUAACUGGUCUGAGAGGGUGAUCAGUCACACUGGAACUGAGACACGGUCCAGACUCCUACGGGAGGCAGCAGUGGGGAAUAUUGGACCAUGGGCGAAAGCCUGAUCCAGCCAUGCCGCGUGUGAAGAAGGUCUUCGGAUUGUAAAGCACUUUAAGUUGGGAGGAAGGGCAGUAAGUUAAUACCUUGCUGUUUUGACGUUACCAACAGAAUAAGCACCGGCUAACUUCGUG
rnacentral:rRNA from 1 species